UCGAGAAUCAUUCGCAAUGGGCGAAAGCCUGACGAUGCGACGCUGUGUGAGCGAUGAAGGCCUUCGGGUUGUAAAGCUCUUUCGCCUGGGAACAAGAGAAGGUGGCUAAUAUCCACCAGAUUUGAGGGUACCAGGUAAAGAAGCACCGGCUAACUCCGUGCCAGCAGCUGCGGUAAUACGGAGGGUGCAAGCAUUAAUCGGAUUUAUUGGGCGUAAAGGGCGCGUAGGUGGUAAAGAAAGUCAGAUGUGAAAUCCUGGGGCUCAACCUCAGAACAGCAUUUGAAACUUCUUUUCUAGAGGGUAGGCGGAGAAAACGGAAUUCCACAAGUAGCGGUGAAAUGCGUAGAUAUGUGGAAGAACACCGGUGGCGAAGGCGGUUUUCUAGCUUAUUCCUGACACUGAGGCGCGAAAGCAAGGGGAUCAAACA
rnacentral:rRNA from 1 species